UGAAUCUUAUCCGCAUAAAUCUGACACUUAUGGCAUUUCUUCAUAUAUUUACAGCAGUCAGACUCCAUUGUCAACCAAUAGUAGCCUGCUUUCAACAUCUUCUUAGCCAUGGCAUGUCCAUUGGAAUGAGUACCAAAUGAACCCUCAUGGACUGCAGUCAUCAACAGGUCUGCUUCGUGUCUAUCCACACAUCUGAGCAGAACCAUGUCAAAAUUCCU
rnacentral:lncRNA from 1 species